UUAAAGAGAUUGGUGAUAAAGUUGGGAAGACUCCUGCACAAGUUGCCCUUCGUUGGGGACUACAAAUGGGUCAUAGUGUGCUCCCGAAAAGUACUUCUGAAUCGAGGAUCAAAGAAAAUUUUGACAUUUUCGAUUGGUCGAUACCUGAAGAUUUGUUUGCCAAGUUUUCUGAGUUCCAUCAAGUAAGUAUACAUAGUUCUAUUGAUCUUGAUUGUUUCCUCGGAGUGGAAUAUAUUUGUGUAGAGUUGUUAUUAUGCUAAUGUACUGACAUCAAUUCUGUUGUUCGCUUGGACAGGAAAGGGUUCUUAAAGGAGAAUUGUUUAUAAAUGAGAAUUAUGUGUACCGGACGCUUGAGGAAUUGUGGGAUGGAGAGACCUAAUGGUGUUUUCUAAUAUAAUAUCAUUUGGAGAUUUGAAGGAUAAUCUCAUUUGUGGUGUUUGGGUACAAUAAUGGUUGUGUAUGAAAAUAUAAUAAUUCAAGUUUUCAAGUAAUAUCAUUUGGGGUUUUCCUCGUAGAUGGUGUAGUCUUUAGAGUAUAUGUUUGGAGAAGCCUUAAAAGUUGAGUAUGUUUGCCAUUACUGUGGUGGAGGGGAAGCAGUGGUGUUACAUUUCUUUUUUGGGAAGUAGAGAUUCUAAGAUUAAAGCUUUAUCAUCUAAUUGAAGGGGAACAAUUACUCUAGUUUAAAGUUUGAGUGUGUUGGAAAAAUCAUGGAUAUGUUGAAAAAAUCAUUGGUUCCGACAAUUAUUACCUCCCCAAUGUAUUGCGUGGAUGGAAGUAAUAGAAGAAUUAUUGAAAAACACACGGUAAGAAAUCGGGGCUUUUCUAACGUCAAGAUAGGCGUCGGUGAAAGUAAUGUCGAGAACAUCCCCAACGUUAAAAUUACACUUCUACCAAGGCAAGUAGUUCUGACGACGUAUUUCAUCACAUCACCAAAAGAUAAAUUAAAUAUUUAUUUCUCGCAUUUUUUUGACGUUCGUGUGCAUAGCGUCAAGGACGGUUAAGACAUUACCGACGUCUAUGUUGACAUCAUGUGAAAGUAUAUUAUAAAAUAAUCAUUCAACUUCCCUCGAUGCCAUGCAAGAGUCAUCUGGAGAGGUGGAUUCUAUCUCCUAUGCCACAAGCAAAUCUUCGUGAGUGGUGGAAACUAUAUUCUCGACAUUUUACUUAUGACUUCGAGGAAUAGGAGUGGUCUCCCGACGUCUUCAAAGUGCAUAUAGAAUUUUCCAAUAUAGAAACUCAAUUCCAGUUUUGUAUUCACAUAACUGAAAAGGGAGAAGGUAGAGAGAGUCGAAGGAGAAGACCGUUCGUCGUCAUAUGCUGCCGCCGUUCAUCGCCAUAUGUUGUUGUCACUCUUCAUUUCGAUAGGUGGUCAUCUAUAUUAAGUGCGAAUAAAUUACUAAUUUUUUUAAAAAAAUCAUAUUCUAAUUUCAAUACACAAAUUUCAUAUAUUUAAUUUACCAAAUCGUCCUAAUUUUGUCUUAAUUUUUUUAAACAUACAACAUGAAAUUUUCAAUUUUUUAAAGUAAUAGUUACAAUGGAAUAAAUUACUGUUUUCUCAGUUUUUUUUCUUACCUACACAUUAUGUUUUUCUUUUUCUCCUUUUAAAUAAGAGGAUUGUUCCAUGGACCAACAUAAAUAAUAAAAAAGUAUAAUAAAUUAAUGAAAGAUAGAAAAAAGAAUAUUUUAGAAAAGUAUGAAUUAAUUUGGUAAAAAUUUUAGAUUCACAAUUUAAUUCGAAUAAAUAUUAAAUCAAUUCUUGGAAUUAAUUUGAAUUUUUUAAAAUAAAAUUCUUAUACGUUUAAAGUUAAAUAUUUUCUAAAAUAUUUGUUAUACAUUAUUAGUAGGUUAUUUAAGAAUUAAAAAAUUAUUUGAUUUAAUAUUAAACCAUUUUAAUAAAAAAUUAUAUUUUUUAGAAAUUUAUUUAACUUAAAUUUAUGGGAAAGAGUUUAGACACAGAAAGAUUAGUUUUAAAAUAAAAUAUUUGAAAGGAUGAAAAAUAAAUAAAAUUAAUACGAGUAAAUUAAUCACAAUUAAUAUUUAAUUAAAAUUAAUUUCGUAAAUAAAAAAGUUAAAAAAUAAUAUAGUUUUUAAAGAUUAUUAAAUUAAUUAAAGAAGGAGUAAAAUUUGAAAAAAUAAAAGAAAUAAUAAAAGAAUUAUAUUCUUGUAGUGGAAAAUGGGUAUGACUUGAAGAAUUUAAAAUAUCCUUUGCAAAUUAUUCUUUGAAAAUUUCAUGCUGAUUUCUGUAUUGAAGGUAAAUGAAAUGAAGGUAACAAUUUGCAACUUAUUACAAAGACAAACUAAUAUUGCAGCAACUUAUUCAUUUACCUUUAAUUUGUUCACUUGUUUAGCCUUUAAAUGUAUGUGUGCUCUAUACUAAGCUUGAGUGGCUGUCCAACUUUAUAUGUUGUUUUCAAAUUCAAAGUGUGACUUUGACACUUAUUUGAAAACUUUUACCUUUCUUUUCCAGGAUUUUGAGGUUGACAUCCAUCUUGGUUAGUUAAUCCUCAACAAUUAACCUUUUAUUAUAAAACGUUCUUUUUAAAACUUUACUUUUAGAAUGUUGAUUUAGAUCAAGUGUUGAAGUGUUAUGAGUAUCCUACAAGUUAUAGUAGUCAUAUAUCAAUACAUAUUGAUGAUACUUAUCUUAAAACUUUGAGUUGAACUCUAAAAUAAAUGUUGUGUUUUUAGUUUGAGUUAGACACUUUUAGUCUAUUGAUGAAGUUAUUAGCUAGUUGGUGGAUUGUAUAACUCUCUUUAUUAUCUAGCUUUAUAAUUGAUAUUAUUUUUUAUAUUUAAUGAUACUUAAGUCACUUUACUAAGAUAAAUAAAUUUCUUGUAACUAUCAUCGUCAUUCACACAUUAUUGAAUUGAAUUCUAAAGUGACUGUUAUGUUUUACUGGAUAUGCACAAACCAACUUAUGUGAUGAGAUUACCAAGCAAGUGAAUGGCAUUUGGUUAGUGACCGUUGGUUUUUUGGCCUUUAAUCUCAAAUUAAUUUAUUUUAAUUAUUUCAUUAAUUUAUGUUUUGAUGAUAACAAAUCUGAUUUUUUUUUUUUACAAUUUUAUUAAUUUGAAUAGACCAUAUCGUAGAGCUUGGAAAAAUGAUUCUAACGUCUCUUGAAUCACUCAAAUUGAAGUUCAAACGAAGAAAAUAUUGCUAAAAAAAAUUUAACCGAAAAAUACUCGAGAUGGUGACGUGGCGACCAAGCAUUCAAUUUGAACCAAUUAGAGAAAGCCACUUGCAGCAAUGGAGGAGUGACAAAUGUGGCUUUUGUUUUAUUCACUUUUAUAAAGAAAAUGAAUUUAAAAAGAAAAUGAUUUUAAUAUCAUUAUUUUUUCUUGUGUUUAACAGCUAGUUUUUUUAAAAAAUGGUGAAGUUGCUUUAUCUUUUUUUUAAAACAAAGUAUUUUGAAAAGACAUAUUAUUAUAUUAUUAUUUGUAUUGUGCAUUCAUUUUUCUUUUACUUAUAUCUAAUGAUCCAAAAUGAUUUUGAAUUUAUAUUUCAUCUCUUUUUAAAUACUUCACUUUUCUCAAACUUUAAAAAGGCAAGAUUAUUAAAACUUUACGAUGCUCAAAAAGUGCAAAAAAACCAACAUUGUUAUUUUUUCUAAAGCUUCAAAUUUUUAUUCUUUUCACCUUAUUCUAGAGCUUCUUAUUGUAUUGUGAGGAUUAAAUUUGUGAGCUUCAAAUUGUAUACUCACUCUUUUAAAGAGUUUUUUUUUUUUUUUGUGAUUUAAAAACUUCGACAUAUUUAACGGUCGGAUCCUAACCCGUGGAAAGGAUCGGGUUUGCUCUUGAACCCGAAAAAGGAGCAAGAAUCGGUUCGGCUCAAAUCCGUGAAAAGAGUCAAAAGAAGAUUUUCAAUCAAAAUCCCAAGAGGUGCUUGGGAAAGUGGAUGUAGGUUGAGUUUAACGAACCACUAUAAAAUUACUGUGUCUUCUUCUCUAACUAUUUUCUAAUUAUUUUUUAAUUUAAUUUUGGAUCGGUACUGGUACAAGUAAUGCAUAACAUAAAUUAAUUAUAACUACAUUACAACUUGACUUAUUGUAAUGUAGUUACUUGUAGCAGUACCUUUUUUUUAUUUGGUUUCUUUGUAAAAAUAUUACCUAGGAUUAGUUACUAAUUUGCUUGUAUUAGUUCCUUUUUCGGACAUUCUAUAAUUUUAUCGUACUUAGUUUAUUUGUAACAAUGUUAUCUACAUUAUAAUUGCUAUACAUGAAACUUAUUUUAUUUGUGUUUUGUUCCAGUUUUGUGUUAAAAAUAGAAUGAGGUAAUAAGAGAUAUAACAAUGUUUUUAGGAAUCAUUUUCAGAAAUGAUAAAACCACUUUUUCUUUUUAAUUUUAUCUAAUAACAUUUUUUGCAUUGGAUGAUAUUUUAUAAAAUAUCAAAAUAUCUAUCUUUUUCAAUGAUAAUUAUUCCGUUUUUGCAUUAUUGUAAUUAAUUUAUGUUAUGCAUUUAUCAGUUUUUAACUAUUUUUGAUUUGGAAAAGAUAUAACAACCCCUAUCAUAACUUUUUUUCUUAAAAUCGGGUGACACAUUCAACAUUUUAAUAAAUUUAUUCAAUUUUACUAAUUUCAAAAUAACCAAAUUCUACAUAAAUUUCAAAAUAACAAAAUUCGUAUUUUUAAAAAUUGGAAAAUCUCAUAUCAAAAUAACCUAUAUUUUUCCUAAUCUCAAUUUCAAAAUAAUCCAAUUAAAUUUUAAAAUAACAAAAUUCUUAUUUUUUAAAAUUGGAAAAUCUCAACAAAUUUUAGACCAAAACAACCUAUAUUUUUUAGAAUUUGAGAAUGUCAAUGAUAUAUUUUGUAUUAAAAUAAUAUUAGUCGAGUUUCAAAAUUAAAAAAUCACGUCUUUUCUAUCCUAUAUCAAACUAACAUUAAUCACUUGAAUAUCAUAUAUUUAAAUUAUUAUUUUGAAUUUGAGAGAAUCUCAACUUUAAUUUUAUUAUAAUCAUGAUUGAAUUUCAAAAUAACCAAAUUAUUAAUUUUUGAAUUUGAGAAUCUCACCUAAUAAUUUUAAAACGCAAUUUCAAAACAACUCAAUUAUUAUUUUGAAUUUACUUUCAACCAUUGAUUUUAUUUCAAAAUAACACUUAAUCACAAAAAUAACUAAAUUAUUAUUUUAAAUUAAAAUUUUCUUACGCUCCUUCUGUUUAGGUGAGAACUGACGUAUUUGUUUGUUUUUCUACUAAUUCUAAUUAAUUUAUUAUGAAAAUAUAGCAUUAUUUAUAUAUUAUAUAUAUAUAUAUAUAUAUAUAUAUAAUUAGUUCAAUACCAUUAAUUCAUACAAGGAUGGAAAUGAAUUAAAAUUAAAAAAAAGAAGUACAUUAAUUAUGUUUAAAUGGACUUUUAAACCAAAAUAUGUUCAUUUGACUCAAUAUUUCUAUCAAUAUUGGUUUAAAAGUGUAAUUAAUGUAAUUAAUGUAAUUAUUUCUAUUGUGUUCUUAUCAAAAGUCUUUUCUGUGUAAUUAAUUUGUAAUAUAUCGUUAUAAGUUUAUCAAUAGUUUCAGUAUAAUUAAUUUGUUAUAUGUAAUUAUGAGUAUGUAAUUAAUUUUGACGUUUUAAUAACAUAAACAACUCUAUCAUAACUAAUUCCUAAUAGGUGGAGAUUUAAAAGAUAUCAAGAGCUUUAUUUAUUUUUUUAUUUCACCUUAUGUUAGAAUAUUUAGCCAAUCCUUAAUAAAAGUUAAAAUUAGUUUUAGUAAUAGAUUUUAAUUUAUUUUUAAAUUUUAAAUUUUGAAUUUGAAAAUUAAAAUUAGUUUUGUAUUAAUAUUUCAACUUUUUUUAUUAUUAUUUGAAAAUUAAAUUUCAAACCUUUUUAUUUUAAAAUAAGGUGAAUCUUUCAAUUAUUUUUUCGUAUUAUAUCAUAAUUUAUUUUUGAAAAUUGAACUUUCUUUUCCAAUAAAAUGGGCUAAGAUAUUAUAUUUUAAGAUAAAAUCUCUCAAAUUUCUUCCACAUUUUAUUAACUAAAUAAUAUAAAUAAUUUUUUUUAAAAAAAUCAAGCUAAAAUUUGCUUAAAAGUUCUCUUCUUUGUCUGUUUUUGCUCAAGUGAAAGUUUUUGUUUUUCCAACCCAAGCAAGUUGUAGACUUGAAAAUCAAAUAUGGAAGGUAGAAAAUGAAGAUAGUGUUUGCGUGAUUCAAAUGUUUAUAUUCUUCUUGAAAAUGCAUGAGAAAGUUGAGGAUGAAACUGAAACUGAAACUUCAAAUGGAAGAGAGUGGAGAUUGGGGUUUGCCUGCUUCAAAGUGAAAAGAUUGGGGUUUGCCUACUUCAAAGUGAAAAGAUUAGCGUUUGCUCGCUCAAAGAAGAUAGAUAAAAAAAAAAAAAAAAAUGGAAAAUGGAGACGAAGGAAGAUUUUCAAAAUGGAAUAUAAGAAAUGAAAAAAGAAAAAGGAAGAUCAUUACAACGGUCUCGAAAAUGAAGAUGAAGAUUUCUAAUUUUGACGAAGAUGAACGGUUCUGAUUUUAAUUGGACAAAUAUGUAUUCAACACUUAUUAAGGUAUAUUUAUUUUAUUUUAGCUUUAAGAAAGUAGCUUACAUUUUAUGUGUACAGGGUCUUUUCGGUUUUUAUAAAUUCUUAUUUAUUGUUUUUUUCUUCCUUUUGCCAUUUUUUAAAGAAAAAGAUGCAGUUUUGCUAUUUUUCAAAUAUUAAUUUCUUUUCAACUUUAAAUAAUUUUAUUUAUUCAAAUAUUUGGAAGGUUAAUUUUAUUGACAAAUUUCAAUAAUGUUAUAAAGAGAAGAUAAUUUAGAAAAAAAAGGAAAAAAAACAUAACUAACACAAUACUCUAACCUAUUUUCUAAUAGUCAUUUGGUGAUCUAAACUUCUAUCAUCUCAACAGUAUUUCACGAGAAUGUAUUAUUCCUUUUUUUUCUUUUUUUAUGCAAUUUUUGAAUUCACUUUAACUUAUUUAUUUUAUUUACUUUUAGAAUUAAAAACUACCGAUAAAUUUUUUCGUUCAUGGUUAGAAUAUGCAUGUCAUAUCAAUUCACUAGUAUAUACAUAUUCUUUUUUAUAUUUUUAGUUUUAAUAUUUUUUAAAUUUAUGUGAUAAAUCAUAAUACUUAUGUUUAAUACUAAUUCUGUAGAGUAAAGAUAUGAAUGUAGAGAUAUUUUAAUCUGUUUAUUAAUUGUAACAAAUUAGUUUAUGGGUUGUUUAGACAAUUUUUUUUUUAUAUAAUUUGCAUUUUUUAAGGGGACAAAAUUGAAGAGAACAAAUUAAAAUUUAUUUGCAAAGUUGAAACCAAUAACUAAACAAAACUCUUUAAAUAUGAAGAAAUAAUAAAAUUCCAUUUCGUAGUAUGUCAUUUCAUUUCAUUUCAUUUCAUUUCAAUUUCGAAUUUCCUUAUCUAUUUCUCAUCAAUGGCUUAUCAAAUCUCCUCUUUCCCCUUGAAUACUGGAGCUAACAUCCCCUCCCUUGGACUCGGAACUUGGCAGGCCACUGAAGGUCUCCUCACUAACGCCAUUCCUGCCGCCCUCAAGGUUCUUUCUUAUAUAUUCUUCAACUUCUAUUUCUUUUCUUCUUACUUCUUAUCAUCAGGAAUGCCCAUUUCUGCAUUUCUUUUACUACUACUACCAUUCUUCAUCUUUAUUUUGAACCUAAAUCAUACUUUGACAAGGUCGUCUUCGUUAAUGUUCACUUAAUGGGAUUAAAGUAGAAUUACAUUUACAAGUCAUAGCUACCGAAACGAAUACUUUGUUUACUCUGUUAAAACAGAGGACACUUUUACUUAUAAUUUUGAAAUUUUGUUUCGAAUUGUGAUUUUUUUAGUUAGUUUACGUAAAUUGAGUGUUUAUUGUUGCUGCAGAUUGGUUAUCGCCAUAUCGAUUGUUCUCCAGUUUAUGGAAACGAGAAAGAGGUAAUUUUUAAUUCAGUGCAAGCAGUUUACAUGUCUUUCGUUUACAUUUUGUAUUAUAUAUUUAGUUUUGAAACAUAUCUGUCAUUGAAAUUAUAACUUAUUAAAUGUUGAUCAGUGGAAGUUUUCUUUUGUUUCUUAGUAAUUUGUUUUCUGUUUUGAGGAUGUGUAAUAUAUUCUAGACUGUUGCCAUUAAAUUCUAUUCAAUCGUCUGUUUUGGUUGUAGCUUUGAGAAAAUAGGAGAGGUAUCUGAUAAUGUAUUGUUGCUUUUGGCAGAUUGGUUCAGUUCUGAAAAAGCUUUUUGAAGAAGGUGUAGUUAAGCGUGAGGAUUUGUGGAUCACUUCCAAACUCUGGUUUGUUCAGCAUUUCUAGUUCUGCUGGUGACAUGUUAUUCUUUUCCAAAUAUUAGGGAACUGACAACAAUUUUCACUCUCCCUGCAGUAGUGAAUUUCCGUUUUGAUUUUUUAACCUUAUUUGGACCCUAAAUUUUGUAAAAGAAAACUAUUCCCAAGGAUAAAAGGAUAAACAGUAGAACUCUAAUUAAGUGACUUCAUUGACCUGCAGGUGUACUGAUCAUGCUCCAGAAGAUGUACCUAAAGCACUGGACAGAACCUUGAAAGAUUUACAGCUUGAUUAUCUUGAUCUCUACCUUGUAUGUAUUAUUGCACUACUUUACUCAACAAUUGUCAUUAACAGUUUAUACUUGCUGAAGCUGGCAGUUUAUAUAACAAUGUGACGAUCUAACGACAUUUUACGACAAUUUUGUAUGUUCUUAAAUGGAUGCUUCACUGAUGGGUGCACUCUAAUGUAACAUCUUCAUAAUAGAUCCAUUGGCCAGUUCGGAUGAAGCAUGGAUCUACAGACUUUUUUGACCCAGAAAACCUUGUUACGCCAGACAUACCAAGCACAUGGAGAGCCAUGGAAGCACUCUUUGAUUCUGGAAAAGCCCGAGCUAUUGGUGUAAGCAAUUUCACCAUGAAGAAACUUGGAGAUUUGCUGGAGGUAGCUCGUGUUCCUCCGUCUGUCAAUCAGGUGGAAUGUCACCCAUCAUGGCAGCAGGACAAACUACGUGAAUAUUGCAAAUCAAAAGGAGUUCAUCUAAGUGUGAGUUGCAAAAACCUGGAUGUUUUUUUUCGUGGAAGAUUUUGGACUAUAUAUAAAAAGUAUAGCUGAGACUUGAGCCAAUUUCAGGGAUACUCUCCAUUGGGUUCAUUUGGAACAACUUUUAUGUUCAAGGGUGGUGAUGUUCUUGAAAAUCCAAUUCUUAAAGAGAUUGGUGAUAAAGUUGGGAAGACUCCUGCACAAGUUGCCCUUCGUUGGGGACUACAAAUGGGUCAUAGUGUGCUCCCGAAAAGUACUUCUGAAUCGAGGAUCAAAGAAAAUUUCGACAUUUUCGAUUGGUCGAUACCUGACGAUUUGUUUGCCAAGUUUUCUGAGUUCCAUCAAGUAAGUAAACAUAGUUCUAUUGAUCUUGAUUGUUUCGUCGGAGUGGAAUAUAUUUGUGUAGAGUUAUUAUUAUGUUAAUGUUCUAAGAUCGACUGUGUUGAUUACUUGGACAGGAA
rnacentral:lncRNA from 1 species